rnacentral:sRNA from 1 species
UAAUUUUCAUUCACAGAGUACUAUUUAUAGUUUGCAGAAUAUUCUUAAUAAUAUAGAUUUUAAUAAAGCUGUAGGUUACUUACUAAUUAUAUGUUAUGUAUUAAAUAGGAACCUUAUAAGUAUCUUUUUUAAUACUUACCCUUUCCCCUGUUUAAUUGUUUAGAUCAAAAGGUCCCUUCAGCAAAGUUCGAACUGGCCCUGGAAGGGGUAGGAAACGAAAAAUCACUCUUUCCAGCCAAUCAGCAUCAUCAUCAUCAGAAGAAGGAUAUUUAGAGCGGAUAGAUGGCUUGGACUUCUGCAGAGAUAGCAGUGUCUCCUUGAAGUUCAACAAGAAAACCAAAGGGCUCAUUGAUGGCCUUACCAAAUUUUUUACCCCUUCCCCUGAUGGGCGGAAAGCUCGGGGGGAAGUGGUGGACUACUCCGAGCAAUAUCGAAUCAGAAAGAGGGGCAACAGGAAAUCAAGCACUUCAGAUUGGCCCACAGACAAUCAGGAUGGCUGGGAUGGC